CAUCUGAGCUCUUAAUUUGGUUGAAAGCAAGCUCUUCAGUCUAAGUGGAUAACAAAACAUCCCUUUGAGGAUGAGGAAAUAGAUGAUAAAAUCUGUGUUACUAAUUUUCUUCAAUAGUUUGGAGAAUUUUUUUCCAUCCUGUGUGUGUUUUUAAGACCUUGUUAAGUUCAUAGUUCUUUUUUCUUUUCUUGUUUGAAUAGAAGAUCAUUCUCUUUAAUCCCACCUGAAUUUCAAAAAUGUAUUAUUGAACUGCCCAGUUCAGGAAUCCAGUUGCCUGUUUUACUGAAUGGAGUUACCCACAUAUUACAGAAGAGCCUGAGCCUCAUGGAAGCCAAGUGAAGAUCCUGAAAUUACACCGCUACUGCCUCUCCUCUCCUCUCCUCUCCUGAAUGACUCUAGGACUAGGUCGGCUCCUUCGUUACUCCCAUUUGUAAGUAAAACCAUACCUCCAACCUACCUCAAAAGCCAGGCUUACCCAUCACAUUUUAUUUUUCUUAUGUUUAGAAAAGUUCAGUAUGAAAUUAGCACAUAUUGGUUGUAGAUAAAUAAAAAUAUGUCAAUUGUACUGAAGGGUAACGAUUAAAAGUUAAACAAAUAUUUUUUUCUCCUUCCCUUAGACCUUGCUAUUCCUCUGUGAAGUCUGAAAUCUCUUCAGAUAUUUUCUAGCACAUGCAAUCCCGUAUAUAGACAGGUUAUUAUAUAUGCAUAUUUCCUUAAUUUUUUUUAACAAAAAUUGGGUCAUAUGAAAAAUAUUCU